rnacentral:rRNA from 1 species
GGAUUGACGGACUGAAGGCUCUUUCUCGAUUCCGUGGAAAGUGGUGCAUGGCCGUUUUUGGUUGGUGGAUCGAUCCGUCUGGUUAAUUCCGUUAACGAACGAGACCUCGGCACUCCGAAUAGCGCGGCGGACGUCGCGGCCUCCGGGCCGUCUUCCGCACGAGCUUCUUAGAGGGACCGUCCCCCGCCGGGGAAGGAGGUGCGAGGCAACGACAGGUCUGUGAUGCCCUUAGAUGUUCUGGGCCGCACGCGCAUUACACUGACGCGUCCAACGGGUGACUCCCGACCCGAAGGGGCCGGGGAAUCCGCAAGGCGCGUCGUGAUGGGGAUUGAACGUUGCAAUUGUUGUUCACGAACGAGGAAUUCCUAGUAGGCGCGGGGUCAUCAACCCGCGCCGAUUACGUCCCUGCCC